UACGAAGGGAGCGAGCGUUGUUCGGAAUCACUGGGCUUAAAGCGUGCGUAGGCGGAUGUGUAAGUCAGGAGUGAAAUCCCAGGGCUUAACCCUGGAACUGCUCUUGAGACUGCAUGUCUUGAAUUCGGAAGAGGUUGGUGGAACUCCCAGUGUAGAGGUGAAAUUCGCAGAUAUUGGGAAGAACACCGGUGGCGAAGGCGACCAACUGGUCCGACAUUGACGCUGAGGCACGAAAGCGUGGGUAGCAAACAGG
rnacentral:rRNA from 1 species